rnacentral:rRNA from 1 species
GACGAACGCUGGCGGCGUGCUUAACACAUGCAAGUCGAACGGAAAGGCCCUGCUUUUGUGGGGUGCUCGAGUGGCGAACGGGUGAGUAACACGUGAGUAACCUGCCCUUGACUUUGGGAUAACUUCAGGAAACUGGGGCUAAUACCGGAUAGGAGCUCCUGCUGCAUGGUGGGGGUUGGAAAGUUUCGGCGGUUGGGGAUGGACUCGCGGCUUAUCAGCUUGUUGGUGGGGUAGUGGCUUACCAAGGCUUUGACGGGUAGCCGGCCUGAGAGGGUGACCGGCCACAUUGGGACUGAGAUACGGCCCAGACUCCUACGGGAGGCAGCAGUGGGGAAUAUUGCACAAUGGGCGGAAGCCUUAUGCAGCAACGCCGCGUGCGGGAUGACGGCCUUCGGGUUGUAACCCGCUUUCGCCUGUGACGAAGCGUGAGUGACGGUAAUGGGUAAAGAAGCACCGGCUAACUACGUG